rnacentral:rRNA from 1 species
CAGCAGCCGCGGUAAUACAGAGGAUGCAAGCGUUAUCCGGAAUGAUUGGGCGUAAAGCGUCUAUAGGUGGCUUUUCAAGUCCGCCGUCAAAUCCCAGGGCUCAACCCUGGACAGGCGGUGGAAACUACCAAGCUGGAGUACGGUAGGGGCAGAGGGAACUUCCAGUGGAGCGGUGAAAUGCGUUGAGAUCGAAAAGAACACCAACAGCGAAAGCACUCUGCUGGGACGACACUGACACUAAGAGACGAAAGCUAGGGGAGCAAAUGGGAUUAGAUACCCCGGUAGUCCCUGUCUCUUAUAC